AUUGAACGCUGGCGGCAGGCCUAACACAUGCAAGUCGAGCGGUAGAGAGAAGCUUGCUUCUCUUGAGAGCGGCGGACGGGUGAGUAAUGCCUAGGAAUCUGCCUGGUAGGGGGGGAUAACGUUCGGAAACGGACGCUAAUACCGCAUACGUCCUACGGGAGAAAGCAGGGGACCUUCGGGCCUUGCGCUAUCAGAUGAGCCUAGGUCGGAUUAGCUAGUUGGUGAGGUAAUGGCUCCCCAAGGCGACGAUCCGUAACUGGUCUGAGAGGAUGAUCAGUCACACUGGAACUGAGACACGGUCCAGACUCCUACGGGAGGCAGCAGUGGGGAAUAUUGGACAAUGGGCGAAAGCCUGAUCCAGCCAUGCCGCGUGUGUGAAGAAGGUCUUCGGAUUGUAAAGCACUUUAAGUUGGGAGGAAGGGUUGUAGAUUAAUACUCUGCAAUUUUGACGUUACCGACAGAAUAAGCACCGGCUAACUCUGUGCCAGCCGCCGCAGUAA
rnacentral:rRNA from 1 species